rnacentral:lncRNA from 10 species
AGUUUACCACACUGUAAAAGCUGUUACAUAAUUAACAUUUUCACUUCUUGUUUUCCAGUAGAUCUCUGGCUUCCUGCUCUGUUUGUUCUGGUUGCCCUGGAAAGCCUGCUGCUCAGCCCAUGCCCCGGGACUUCCUCCACCCUCACCAGGACAUUCUUUCCAUCUCUUGUCUCCUGUGUGCAAGUCCCUUUCUCCUGGAUUCCAUGUCUUGAAUGUUUCUUAAUUUACUUCCUCAUUUUGGCAGAGGAUGUCCUCCAGUUGUUUUCUGGGAAUGCUAAUAUGCAAGUGAACCAGUGACCUGCAGUUCUGCCCACACAGGGUUAAUAACCAAUCAGAUUCUCUCUUUUCAAGAUGGUUAACAUAACAGACACCAAGAAAGGGAAGAGGAGCCGACAGCAGAGGGGGAAGCUGAAAAGACGCACAAAGAAUGGCCAUAAAAGAUAUGAGUAUGUUGAGUGAUUAGUGAUCGGAAACUACGAGUGAUAUGGUACAG